rnacentral:rRNA from 1 species
UACGUAGGGGGCUAGCGUUGUCCGGAUUUAUUGGGCGUAAAGAGCGUGUAGGCGGCCUGGUAGGUCUGCUGUGAAAACUCGAGGCUCAACCUCGAGAUGUCGGCGGAAACCAUCUGGCUAGAGUCCGGAAGAGGAGAGUGGAAUUCCUGGUGUAGCAGUGAAAUGCGCAGAUAUCAGGAAGAACACCUAUGGCGAAGGCAGCUCUCUGGGACGGUACUGACGCUGAGACGCGAAAGCGUGGGGGAGCGAACAGG